GCAGCCUGAUGCAGCAACGCCGCGUGAGGGACGACGGCCUUCGGGUUGUAAACCUCUUUUAGCAGGGAAGAAGCGAAAGUGACGGUACCUGCAGAAAAAGCGCCGGCUAACUACGUGCCAGCAGCCGCGGUAAUACGUAGGGCGCAAGCGUUAUCCGGAAUUAUUGGGCGUAAAGAGCUCGUAGGCGGUUUGUCGCGUCUGCUGUGAAAUCCGGAGGCUCAACCUCCGGCCUGCAGUGGGUACGGGCAGACUAGAGUGCGGUAGGGGAGAUUGGAAUUCCUGGUGUAGCGGUGGAAUGCGCAGAUAUCAGGAGGAACACCGAUGGCGAAGGCAGAUCUCUGGGCCGUAACUGACGCUGAGGAGCGAAAGGGUGGGGAGCAAACAGGCUUAGAUACCCUGGUAGUCCACCCCGUAAACGUUGGGAACUAGUUGUGGGGUCCAUUCCACGGAUUCCGUGACGCAGCUAACGCAUUAAGUUCCCCGCCUGGGGAGUACGGCCGCAAGGCUAAAACUCAAAGGAAUUGACGGGGACCCGCACAAGCGGCGGAGCAUGCGGAUUAAUUCGAUGCAACGCGAAGAACCUUACCAAGGCUUGACAUAUACGAGAACGGGCCAGAAAUGGUCAACUCUUUGGACACU
rnacentral:rRNA from 1 species